rnacentral:lncRNA from 1 species
CCACAUAUGAAGCUUAGAAAAUGAGUUUGGAAGAAUUACAAAUAAAUAAAUUUAGUUGUUUACUAUAUUUUGAACCAUAAAUAUUUAGUUAGUAAAAUUUUACUAUUUCCACCGUCAUUGCUGGCAUAGACAAUAAAAUAUUUACUGUUUGUUGUAUUCUACCAUUGAAUUUUACUGUGCCAAACAUAUCGCCGGAAAAGUCAUCGGUGAUUGUCGAAAAAGUUGCCAAUGACCGGUUGGAAAAAGUCAUCGCUAGCUGCCAGAAGUGGUGGCCGAUUAAGUUGGUGAAGUGUAGCCAGAAAUGAAAAGAGGUAUGGAAAAUAACAAAGGUAUUUUGUCCAAUUUGACCGAAUGGAGUUUUGACAAAAAGAUUUUGCUUGUUUUAGAAUCGGAUAAAAUGAAUCUUUCAUUAAAGUCCUUUUUUAUUAUUUAUUCAAAUAUUAGAAACGAGCCCGCUUGAACAGUAGGUGUAAGAAUCAAUUUUGAAGGGGUGAAUGAAAUUAUUUUCAUUUUAAAGCGAGAUAAUCUCUAUUGAGAACUUUCUUGAAGCUGCCGCUUUGGACCAUGAAAGCAGCACCGGCCAUCACGAUCAGAAUCCAAGUUGAUAUUGACUCGUGAGUCCGUGAAGAAAU